rnacentral:rRNA from 1 species
AGUCGAACGAGAAUCUACUGAAAGAGUUUUCGGACAAUGGAUGUAGAGGAAAGUGGCGGACGGGUGAGUAACGCGUGAGGAACCUGCCUUGAAGAGGGGGACAACAGUUGGAAACGACUGCUAAUACCGCAUGAAGCAUAGGGGUCGCAUGAUUCUUAUGCCAAAGAUUUAUCGCUUCAAGAUGGCCUCGCGUCUGAUUAGCUAGUUGGCGGGGUAACGGCCCACCAAGGCGACGAUCAGUAGCCGGACUGAGAGGUUGAACGGCCACAUUGGGACUGAGAUACGGCCCAGACUCCUACGGGAGGCAGCAGUGGGGAAUAUUGGGCAAUGGGCGCAAGCCUGACCCAGCAACGCCGCGUGAAGGAAGAAGGCUUUCGGGUUGUAAACUUCUUUUAAGAGGGAAGAGCAGAAGACGGUACCUCUAGAAUAAGCCACGGCUAACUACGUGCCAGCAGCCGCGGUAAUACGUAGGUGGCAAGCGUUGUCCGGAUUUACUGGGUGUAAAGGGCGUGCAGCCGGGUCUGC